AUCCUACGGGAGGCAGCAGUGGGGAAUAUUGCACAAUGGGCGCAAGCCUGAUGCAGCCAUGCCGCGUGUAUGAAGAAGGCCUUCGGGUUGUAAAGUACUUUCAGCAGUGAGGAAGGUGGGUAUGUUAAUAGCAUACUCAUUUGACGUUAGCUGCAGAAGAAGCACCGGCUAACUCCGUGCCAGCAGCCGCGGUAAUACGGAGGGUGCGAGCGUUAAUCGGAAUUACUGGGCGUAAAGCGCAUGCAGGUGGUUUGUUAAGUCAGAUGUGAAAGCCCGGGGCUCAACCUCGGAAUUGCAUUUGAAAACUGGCAAACUAGAGUACUGUAGAGGGGGUAGAAUUUCAGGUGUAGCGGUGAAAUGCGUAGAGAUCUGAAGGAAUACCGGUGGCGAAGGCGGCCCCCUGGACAGAUACUGACACUCAGAUGCGAAAGCGUGGGGAGCAAACAGGAUUAGAUACCCUGGUAG
rnacentral:rRNA from 1 species